AUGUGUGACAACUUCCACCUGAUCCUCUUACCCUGCCAUAAGUCACCGUCCACCGCCAUCUGGGUCAUCCCUGUCCCUGUCCACCUGGUCAUCCCUGUCCCUGUCCACCUGGUCAUCCCUGUCCCUGUCCACCUGGUCAUCCCUGUCCACCUGGUCAUCCCUGUCUCUGUCCACCUGGUCAUCCCUGUCUCUGUCCACCUGGUCAUCCCUGUCCCUGUCCACCUGGUCAUCCCUGUCCACCUGGUCAUCCCGUCCACCUGGUCAUCCCUGUCCCUGUCCACCUGGUCAUCCCUGUCCCUGUCCACCUGGUCAUCCCUGUCCACCUGGUCAUCCCUGUCCACCUGGUCAUCCCGGUCCCUGUCCACCUGGUCAUCCCGUCCACCUGGUCAUCCCUGUCUCUGUCCACCUGGUCGUCCCUGUCUCUGUCCACCUGGUCAUCCCGUCCACCUGAUCAUCCCGUCCACCUGGUCAUCCCGUCUACCUGGUCAUCCCUGUCUCUGUCCACCUGGUCAUCCCGUCCACCUGGUCAUCCCUGUCCACCUGGUCAUCCCUGUCCCUGUCCACCUGGUCAUCCCUGUCCCUGUCCACCUGGUCAUCCCUGUCCCUGUCCACCUGGUCAUCCCUGUCCAGUCAUCCCUGUCCACCUGGUCAUCCCGGUCCCUGUCCACCUGGUCAUCCCGUCCACCUGGUCAUCCCUGUCUCUGUCCACCUGGUCGUCCCUGUCUCUGUCCACCUGGUCAUCCCGUCCACCUGAUCAUCCCGUCCACCUGGUCAUCCCGUCUACCUGGUCAUCCCUGUCUCUGUCCACCUGGUCAUCCCGUCCACCUGGUCAUCCCUGUCCACCUGGUCAUCCCGGUCCCUGUCCACCUGGUCAUCCCGUCCACCUGGUCAUCCCUGUCUCUGUCCACCUGGUCGUCCCUGUCUCUGUCCACCUGGUCAUCCCGUCCACCUGAUCAUCCCGUCCACCUGGUCAUCCCGUCUACCUGGUCAUCCCUGUCUCUGUCCACCUGGUCAUCCCGUCCACCUGGUCAUCCCUGUCUCUGUCCACCUGGUCAUCCCUGUCCACCUGGUCAUCCCGUCCACCUGGUCAUCCCGUCCACCUGGUCAUCCAUGCACUCACACACCUAA
rnacentral:lncRNA from 1 species